CACAGUGUAACAAUACAUGGGUGGCGACCGGCAAACGGGUGCGGAACACGUACGCAACCUUCCUUCAGGCGGGGAAUAGCCCAGAGAAAUUUGGAUUAAUACCCCAUAAUAUUUUGAGAUGGCAUCAUCUUAUUAUUAAAGCUACGGCACCUGGAGAUGGGCGUGCGGCUGAUUAGGUAGUUGGCGGGGUAAUGGCCCACCAAGCCUACGAUCAGUAGCUGAUGUGAGAGCAUGAUCAGCCACACGGGCGCUGAGACACGGGCCCGACUCCUACGGGAGGCAGCAGUAAGGAAUAUUGGUCAAUGGACGCAAGUCUGAACCAGCCAUGCCGCGUGGAGGAUGAAGGUCCUCUGGAUUGUAAACUUCUUUUAUCUGGGACGAAAAAAGGGUUUUCUAACUCGUCUGACGGUACCAGAUGAAUAAGUACCGGCUAACUCCGUGCCAGCAGCCGCGGUAAUACGGAGGGUGCAAGCGUUAUCCGGAUUCACUGGGUUUAAAGGGUGCGUAGGCGGGCAUUUAAGUCAGUGGUGAAAUACCUGAGCUUAACUUGGGAACUGCCAUUGAUACUAUUUGUCUUGAAUGUCGUGGAGGUUAGCGGAAUAUGUCAUGUAGCGGUGAAAUGCUUAGAUAUGACAUAGAACACCUAUUGCGAAGGCAGCUAACUACGCGAAUAUUGACGCUGAGGCACGAAAGCGUGGGGAUCAAACAGGAUUAGAUACCCUGGUAGUCCACGCCCUAAACGAUGAUUACUCGACAUUAGCGAUACACUGUUAGUGUCUGAGCG
rnacentral:rRNA from 1 species